rnacentral:rRNA from 1 species
GAUGAACGCUAGCGGCAGGCCUAAUACAUGCAAGUCGAACGGAUAUAUGUUUUUCGGAAUAUAUAUUAGUGGCGCACGGGUGAGUAACACGUACAUAACUUGCCCUCAAGCGGGGGAUAGCCUUGGGGAAACUGAGAGUAAUACCCCAUAGAAUUAUUGGACGGCAUCGUUUGAUAAUUAAAACUACGGUGCUUGGGGAUAGAUGUGCGUCUGAUUAGCUAGUUGGUGAGGUAACUGCUCACCAAGGCGACGAUCAGUAGGGGGCGUGAGAGCGUGGCCCCCCACACGGGUACUGAGACACGGACCCCGACUCCUACGGGAGGCAGCAGUAAGGAAUAUUGGUCAAUGCCCGGAAGGGUGAACCAGCCAUGCCGCGUGAAGGAUGACUGCCCUCUGGGUUGUAAACUUCUUUUGGAUGGGGACGAAAAAACGGGAUUUAUCCUGGACUGACGGUACCAGUCAGAAUAAGCACCGGCUAACUCCGUG